GUCACGAUAGUGGAUUUUACCUUAUGGAUCUGAAGAUGAGACCUUGCAGUGCUUACCAAAGUCCCUGGCCACAAAUCUGCCCUGACUAUCUUCACCUCUAUGAAGAAAUUAGGAGAUCUGGUGGUCUCAAAAAUCAUGAAGAAUCUGAACAUAGGACAAAGGCCCUCAUAUAUUGUUAACAAGAUGGAAACAAUCACACCUCAGAUGUGAGAAAAAAUCAAGGAUCUCAUUAUGUUCAAAUAAAGGAACAGAAUAAGC
rnacentral:lncRNA from 1 species